GCCGGGCGUGACGGCUCACGCCUGUAAUCCCAGCACUUUGGGAGGCUGAGGUGGGCGGAUCACCUGAGGUCAGGAGUUUGAGACCAGCCUGGCCAACAUGGUGAAACCCCAUCUCUA
rnacentral:SRP_RNA from 1 species